CUCUUGCUAGUCUGGUGGCUAGGAUUCCGGGCUCUCAUCCAGGCUACCCAGGUUCAAUUCCUGGGCAGGGAA
rnacentral:tRNA from 1 species